rnacentral:misc_RNA from 1 species
UAAAAGGAAGUUUUAAAUUUGUUCUCAAGUUUAGUGAAAACUUGUUAGUCUAAUAAUAUGGCUGUAGUUUAAAAAUCAGACGCUUUAUCAUGGCUUUAGAUACAAUUAUCUGGAUCUAGCACAGAGUAUUGGAAAAUGGCACCCGCCUUAAGUACAAUAGUAUUACUUCUGACACUUUUCACAGAUGCUGUGCUAACUGAUUGUUCUGCUGGCUGCACUUCCUGUUCCGGUACAACGUGCUUGAAAUGUGAAUCGUCAUAUUUUUUAUCCAAUGGCUUCUGUUCUCCAUGUCCAGAAGACUGCACUAGUUGUAACGGAUAUAAUGACUGUACUUCGUGCAAACCAGGUAAAUGGGGUUCAGACAACCAGUGCCAGUUUACCUGUGGUAAUAAUUGUCAUAAUAAAGAAUGCGGAUAUGACACUGGCUAUUGUGUUCAGUGUAAACCUGGAGUUUACGGCUUACUUUGUCAACAUGAUUGUAGUGAUUGUCAGGAUGAUCUUUGUGAUUUACGUAGAUGCACACACGGAUGUAAACAAGGAUAUUUUGAGUACAAAACUGUUCUUGAAACAUUUUGUCAGACAUGUCCGCCAGAUUGUAGAUAUUGAAAUGACGCAAGCACAUGUCAGAUUUGUAAUGACGGUUUUCAUUUGUAUCAGUUUCAUUUAAAUGAAAAAGCUGUUAUUCGCUGUAUUAGUUGCUCAUUAGGACCAAAAUGUUCAAAUUAUUGUGUUAUUCAAAAUUGUAAUCAGUGCAAAGUCCAUGAUGGCGCUUUGGUAUGCACAGAUUGCCCUGACGGAUAUAGAUUUAAUGGCAAAGUAUGCAUACUAAAUACAACCAGCUGUUCUCAAGAAUGUUCCUCUUAUUGUGAUGACGAUGGAAUAUGCUUAGGAGCCUGCAAUGCUGGAUGGACGGGUGAAAGUUGUUCUGGGCAGUGUUUUGAUAAAUGUUUUACAUGCGACAAAAGUAAUAGUUUCACCUGUCAACAAUGUAAAGGUGACUUUUACACUACCAAUUGUAGCGUCGCUUGUAGUCCAUCAUGUAAAACAGAAAACGGUAAACAAACGUGUAAACUAAAUGAUGGAUAUUGUUUAAAUGGAUGUGAAUACAAUUUUUGGGGUCCUGUUUGUGACCAGUCUUGCUCUAACGGUUGUAUUUAUAACGGUGUAUCCCCGAUAUGCGACAGAAACAACGGAACAUGUAAAUAUGGAUGUAAGGUCGGAUACAGUGGAGACAAAUGCCAUUUAAUUGCUACUACAAGGAAGACAACGAUGGUGUCUGAAGCAGCAACAACAGCGCUAAACAAAAUAUGUACACAGUGUGAUUGUAAAGAAAAUGGUGACUACAAACGCAAUUUCAUUGAAGGCUUCUUUUCGGGAUUAGGAACUUCUGUAGUCGUUGCAGUUAUUACAGUGACACUAUUCCAAAUUAGGCGAAGGCAUGUAGCAAAGAAGUUAAAAUCGCAGCAAGAUUCAAAGAAAACCAUCGAGAUGCCCACAUAUUAUAACGAGGAUAUCCGUCAUACACAAGAAGAGGCUACCGGAACUAAUAACUAUGAGACACUCGGCAAUACCAGGAACACGGAUAAUGUUUACAAUGAUUUAGAAACGACAGCAGUGCAAUAAAGUGCCUGGUUUUGCGACAUGCGAAUAAAAAAACUCUGUGACAACAGCACUUACGUAUGAGGAAGCAAGCCACCUUGCUUACUUUCGGUCGAUGGUUUUAACUAAGUGCCCUCUCAUUUCUAAAAUAAUGCCUUGAGGAUCAACUGGGUCCUCCACAGUCAAAAGCUAGAAAGUUGCCAUAUGACCUAUAUAUGUGUUGGUGUGAAGUUAAAGGGAAAGGCAAAUUUGUUCUCUUGUUAAAUCCAUCUGCUAGGAUUUUUUAAAUCAUUUAAAGAAGUGAAAAAAAUUUCGAAAUCGGCUUAAAAAUGAGACAGUUAUGAGCAUUUAAAUAUUUGAUCAAAAUGACGACCACUUUGUUUCCAUGGCAACAAGAAAC